ensembl:lncRNA
CUUCCUCUUGGAGCCCUUCUGCAAGCCCAGGACACAGUUACACGUCCUGGAGGAUGCUGUCUCCUCACCUCUCCUAGCUUGACACCAUCAUAACUCAGCAACCUGGGGUUACACAACUCCCAGUUGCAGGGUCCAUCCGACAAAUGAAGAAAACCUGUCUUUAAAACUCAUCUUCUGAUCUACUAAACUCAUCUACUGAUCUUUAGUAAAGCAAACGGCUUCAGCCUGAGAAUGCCGAUGUGAAGCAUUCUGAUAUUUAAGGAAGAAAAGAAGGAUGCCUAUUGUUUUGCCUUGUCGUUGACUGACUCCAGCCCAGAACUGGGAGUUAUUUUGGUUUCCAUCCUUUUCCCAGGAGAUUUCAUUUUUUAACUCAUGUAACACUCUCUAAUUCAGUUUGAAGUAGAAAUGACCAGACUCAGUAAGGCUCACAAGAACAUGGCGGAGCUGCCAGUUUGCACAAAUAUCAGACAAAACAGUUCCAUUUUCCACCACCCCCCCUCCCCUUUGCAUUUUGGGUUUCCUUUGAAAUUGUACCUAGACUUCAGAGGAAGCAUGGGGUCCUCAGGACCAGCUGCUCCUCAAACACACACAACAAAACCAUCCAGGCCCACAUGCUCUGCCAUGUAACCUGCACACCACAAAAAUUCAGAUGCCAUCUUCAGUCCUGCAAAAUAUUAAGCCAGGCAUUUAAGAUUCAC